rnacentral:rRNA from 1 species
UUCCGGUUGAUCCUGCCGGAGGUUACUGCUAUCGGUGUUCGCCUAAGCCAUGCGAGUCAUAUGUAGCAAUACAUGGCGUACUGCUCAGUAACACGUGGAUAACCUGCCCUUGGGUCCGGCAUAACCCCGGGAAACUGGGGAUAAUUCCGGAUAACGCACAUAUGCUGGAAUGCUUUAUGCGUCAAAUGGAUUCGUCUGCCCAAGGAUGGGUCUGCGGCCUAUCAGGUAGUAGUGGGUGUAAUGUACCUACUAGCCGACAACGGGUACGGGUUGUGAGAGCAAGAGCCCGGAGAUGGAUUCUGAGACAUGAAUCCAGGCCCUACGGGGCGCAGCAGGCGCGAAAACUUUACAAUGCGGGAAACCGUGAUAAGGGGACACCGAGUGUCAGCAUCAUAUGCUGGCUGUCCAGGUGUGUAAAAUACACCUGUUAGCAAGGGCCGGGCAAGACCGGUGCCAGCCGCCGCGGUAACACCGGCGGCCCGAGUGGUGAUCGUGAUUAUUGGGUCUAAAGGGUCCGUAGCCGGUUUGGUCAGUCCUCCGGGAAAUCUGAUAGCUCAACUAUUAGGCUAUCGGGGGAUACUGCCAGGCUUGGAACCGGGAGAGGUAAGAGGUACUACAGGGGUAGGAGUGAAAUCUUGUAAUCCCUGUGGGACCACCUGUGGCGAAGGCGUCUUACCAGAACGGGUUCGACGGUGAGGKACGAMAGCUGGGMGCAYSAAA